rnacentral:rRNA from 1 species
GAUCCGAGCGUUAUCCGGAUAUAGUGGGUUUAAAGGGAGCGUAGGCGGGAUGCUAAGACAGCUGGGAAAGUUUGCGGCUCAACAGUAAAAUUGCAGUUGAUACUGGCGUCCUUGAGUGCGGCAGAGGCAGGCGGAAUUCGUGGUGUAGCGGUGAAAUGCUUAGAUAUCACGAAGAACUCCGAUUGCGAAGGCAGCCUGCUGGACCGUAACUGACGCUGAUGCUCGAAAGUGCGGGUAU